GAUGAACGCUGGCGGCGUGCCUAAUACAUGCAAGUCGAGCGAACAGACGAGGAGCUUGCUCCUCUGACGUUAGCGGCGGACGGGUGAGUAACACGUGGAUAACCUACCUAUAAGACUGGGAUAACUUCGGGAAACCGGAGCUAAUACCGGAUAAUAUAUUGAACCGCAUGGUUCAAUAGUGAAAGACGGUUUUGCUGUCACUUAUAGAUGGAUCCGCGCCGCAUUAGCUAGUUGGUAAGGUAACGGCUUGCCAAGGCGACGAUGCGUAGCCGACCUGAGAGGGUGAUCGGCCACACUGGAACUGAGACACAGUCCAGACUCCUACGGGAGGCAGCAGUAGGGAAUCUUCCGCAAUGGGCGAAAGCCUGACGGAGCAACGCCGCGUGAGUGAUGAAGGUCUUCGGAUCGUAAAACUCUGUUAUUAGGGAAGAACAAAUGUGUAAGUAACUAUGCACGUCUUGACGGUACCUAAUCAGAAAGCCACGGCUAACUACGUG
rnacentral:rRNA from 1 species